rnacentral:tRNA from 1 species
UAUAGGGUAGCUUAAUUGGUAAAGCUUGUAUUGUAAUAACGGGGUAAUAAUACUAAUUCCAGCCGUUGUUGUGGGUUCGAAUCCCACCCCUAUAU